rnacentral:rRNA from 1 species
AGAGUUUGAUCCUGGCUCAGAACAAACGCUGGCGGCGUGCCUAAUACAUGCAAGUCGAACGAGGAAAUCCCUUCGGGGAGAGUAUGAGUGGCNCACGGGUGAGGAACGCGUGGAUAAUNUGCCCUUCAGUGGGGAACAACCAGGGGAAACUCUGGCUAAUACCGCAUAAGACCACAGUGCCUGCGGGCACAGAGGUCAAAGAUUUAUCGCUGAAGGAUGAGUCCGCGUCCGAUUAGCUUGUUGGUGGGGUAAAAGCCUACCAAGGCGACGAUCGGUAACUGGUCUGAGAGGAUGAUCAGUCACACUGGAACUGAGACACGGUCCAGACUCCUACGGGAGGCAGCAGUAGGGAAUAUUGCGCAAUGGGGGAAACCCUGACGCAGCGACGCCGCGUGAGUGAUGAAGGCCUUCGGGUUGUAAAGCNCUGUNCUUAGGGAAUAAAAAAUGAAGGUACCUAAGAAGAAAGGACCGGCUAACUUCGUGCCAGCAGCCGCGGUAAU